CCUACGGGUGGCAGCAGUGAGGAAUAUUGGUCAAUGGACGAGAGUCUGAACCAGCCAAGUAGCGUGAAGGAUGACUGCCCUAUGGGUUGUAAACUUCUUUUAUAUGGGAAUAAAACGUUCCACGUGUGGGAUUUUGUAUGUACCAUAUGAAUAAGGAUCGGCUAACUCCGUGCCAGCAGCCGCGGUAAUACGGAGGAUCCGAGCGUUAUCCGGAUUUAUUGGGUUUAAAGGGAGCGUAGGUGGAUUGUUAAGUCAGUUGUGAAAGUUUGCGGCUCAACCGUAAAAUUGCAGUUGAAACUGGCAGUCUUGAGUACAGUAGCGGUGGGCGGAAUUCGUGGUGUAGCGGUGAAAUGCUUAGAGAUCACGAAGAACUCCGAUUGCGAAGGCAGUUCACUGGACUGCAACUGACACUGAGGCUCGAAAGUGUGGGUAUCAAACAGGAUUAGAUACCCCAGUAGUC
rnacentral:rRNA from 1 species